rfam:Virgibacillus soli strain PL205 scaffold000013, whole genome shotgun sequence.
CACUAGGGAAAGCAGGCUAAGUUCGCGCCGUCCUGGCGCAACGCCUGCAUGACCCACAUCCUGUAGG